rnacentral:rRNA from 1 species
CCUACGGGCGGCAGCAGUGGGGAAUAUUGGACAAUGGGGGGAACCCUGAUCCAGCGACGCCGCGUGAGUGAAGAAGUAUUUCGGUACGUAAAGCUCUAUCAGCAGGGAAGAAAAUGACGGUACCUGACUAAGAAGCCCCGGCUAACUACGUGCCAGCAGCCGCGGUAAUACGUAGGGGGCAAGCGUUAUCCGGAUUUACUGGGUGUAAAGGGAGCGUAGACGGCAGCGCAAGUCUGGAGUGAAAUCCCAUGGCUUAACAAUGGAACUGCUUUGGAAACUGUGCAGCUAGAGUGCAGGAGAGGUAAGCGGAAUUCCUGGUGUAGCGGUGAAAUGCGUAGAUAUUAGGAGGAACACCAGUGGCGAAGGCGGCUUACUGGACUGUAACUGACGUUGAGGCUCGAAAGCGUGGGGAGCAAACAGGAUUAGAUACCCCGGUAGUC